AACGUAGGGGACAAGCGUUAUCCGGAUUUACUGGGCGUAAAGCGCCCGUAGGCGGCCUGACAAGUUGGACGUGAAAGCUCCUGGCUUAACUGGGAGAGGCCGUUCAAAACUGUCAAGCUAGAGUCUGGAAGAGGAGAGCGGAAUUCCCGGUGUAGCGGUGAAAUGCGUAGAUAUCUGGAGGAACACCGGUGGCGAAGGCGGCAUCCUGGGCCAACACUGACGCUGAGUGAGCGAAAGCCAGGGGAGCAAACGGG
rnacentral:rRNA from 1 species